CAGGCCUAACACAUGCAAGUCGAGCGAUGAAGCACCUUCGGGUGUGAAUUAGCGGCGAACGGGUGAGGAACACGUGAGAAAUCUGCCUUCAACUCUGGGAUAACUCCGGGAAACCGGGGCUAAUACCGGAUAUGAGCCUUGAUCGCAUGAUCGGGGCUGGAAAGUUUUUCGGUUGAAGAUGAUCUCGCGGCCUAUCAGCUUGUUGGUGAGGUAAUGGCUCACCAAGGCGACGACGGGUAGCCGGCCUGAGAGGGCGACCGGCCACACUGGGACUGAGACACGGCCCAGACUCCUACGGGAGGCAGCAGUGGGGAAUAUUGGGCAAUGGAGGAAACUCUGACCCAGCGACGCCGCGUGAGGGAUGAAAGCGUUCGGGUUGUAAACCUCUUUCAGUAGGGAAGAAGCGAAAGUGAC
rnacentral:rRNA from 1 species